AGCUCAGCGGUUAAGAGCACUGGCCUUUCUUCCAGAGGACCUGGGUUCAAUUCCCAG
rnacentral:tRNA from 1 species